UGGGGAAUAUUGGACAAUGGGCGCAAGCCUGAUCCAGCCAUGCCGCGUGAGUGAUGAAGGCCUUAGGGUUGUAAAGCUCUUUUAGCAGGGAAGAUAAUGACGGUACCUGCAGAAAAAGCCCCGGCUAACUUCGUGCCAGCAGCCGCGGUAAUACGAAGGGGGCUAGCGUUGCUCGGAAUUACUGGGCGUAAGGCGCACGUAGGCGGACUCUUAAGUCGGUGGUGAAAUCCUGGAGCUCAACUCCAGAACUGCCUUCGAUACUGGGAGUCUUGAGUUCGGGAGAGGUGAGUGGAACUGCGAGUGUAGAGGUGAAAUUCGUAGAUAUUCGCAAGAACACCAGUGGCGAAGGCGGCUCACUGGCCCGAUACUGACGCUGAGGUGCGAAAGCGUGGGGAGCAAACA
rnacentral:rRNA from 1 species